AAAUUGAAGAGUUUGAUCAUGGCUCAGAUUGAACGCUGGCGGCAGGCCUAACACAUGCAAGUCGAGCGGUAGCACAGAGGAGCUUGCUCCUCGGGUGACGAGCGGCGGACGGGUGAGUAAUGUCUGGGAAACUGCCUGAUGGAGGGGGAUAACUACUGGAAACGGUAGCUAAUACCGCAUAACCUCGCAAGAGCAAAGAGGGGGACCUUAGGGCCUCUCGCCAUCAGAUGUGCCCAGAUGGGAUUAGCUAGUAGGUGAGGUAAUGGCUCACCUAGGCGACGAUCCCUAGCUGGUCUGAGAGGAUGACCAGCCACACUGGAACUGAGACACGGUCCAGACUCCUACGGGAGGCAGCAGUGGGGAAUAUUGCACAAUGGGCGCAAGCCUGAUGCAGCCAUGCCGCGUGUGUGAAGAAGGCCUUCGGGUUGUAAAGCACUUUCAGCGAGGAGGAAGGCGGUAAGGUUAAUAACCUUAUCGAUUGACGUUACUCGCAGAAGAAGCACCGGCUAACUCCGUGCCAGCAGCCGCGGUAAUACGGAGGGUGCAAGCGUUAAUCGGAAUGACUGGGCGUAAAGCGCACGCAGGCGGUCUGUUAAGUUGGAUGUGAAAUCCCCGGGCUUAACCUGGGAACUGCAUUCAAAACUGACAGGCUAGAGUCUUGUAGAGGGGGGUAGAAUUCCAGGUGUAGCGGUGAAAUGCGUAGAGAUCUGGAGGAAUACCGGUGGCGAAGGCGGCCCCCUGGACAAAGACUGACGCUCAGGUGCGAAAGCGUGGGGAGCAAACAGGAUUAGAUACCCUGGUAGUCCACGCUGUAAACGAUGUCGAUUUGGAGGUUGUGCCCUUGAGGCGUGGCUUCCGGAGCUAACGCGUUAAAUCGACCGCCUGGGGAGUACGGCCGCAAGGUUAAAACUCAAAUGAAUUGACGGGGGCCCGCACAAGCGGUGGAGCAUGUGGUUUAAUUCGAUGCAACGCGAAGAACCUUACCUACUCUUGACAUCCACAGAAUUUGGUAGAGAUACCUUAGUGCCUUCGGGAACUGUGAGACAGGUGCUGCAUGGCUGUCGUCAGCUCGUGUUGUGAAAUGUUGGGUUAAGUCCCGCAACGAGCGCAACCCUUAUCCUUUGUUGCCAGCGAUUCGGUCGGGAACUCAAAGGAGACUGCCGGUGAUAAACCGGAGGAAGGUGGGGAUGACGUCAAGUCAUCAUGGCCCUUACGAGUAGGGCUACACACGUGCUACAAUGGCGUAUACAAAGAGAAGCGACCUCGCGAGAGCAAGCGGACCUCAUAAAGUACGUCGUAGUCCGGAUUGGAGUCUGCAACUCGACUCCAUGAAGUCGGAAUCGCUAGUAAUCGUAGAUCAGAAUGCUACGGUGAAUACGUUCCCGGGCCUUGUACACACCGCCCGUCACACCAUGGGAGUGGGUUGCAAAAGAAGUAGGUAGCUUAACCUUCGGGAGGGCGCUUACCACUUUGUGAUUCAUGACUGGGGUGAAGUCGUAACAAGGUAACCGUAGGGGAACCUGCGGUUGGAUCACCUCCUUACCAAGAAG
rnacentral:rRNA from 1 species